UACAGAGGUCUCAAGCGUUGUUCGGAUUCAUUGGGCGUAAAGGGUGCGUAGGCGGCUUUCUAAGUCGGAUGUGAAAACUCUGGGCUCAACCCAGAGCCUGCAUCCGAAACUGGAGAGCUAGGGUUCUGGAGGGGAAAGCGGAAUUCCUGGUGUAGCGGUGAAAUGCGUAGAUAUCAGGAGGAACACCGGUGGCGAAGGCGGCUUUCUGGACAGAUACCGACGCUGAGGCACGAAAGCUAGGGGAGCAAACGGG
rnacentral:rRNA from 1 species